UGGGGAAUAUUGCACAAUGGGCGCAAGCCUGAUGCAGCCAUGCCGCGUGUAUGAAGAAGGCCUUCGGGUUGUAAAGUACUUUCAGCGAGGAGGAAGGCGGUAAGGUUAAUAACCUUAUCGAUUGACGUUACUCGCAGAAGAAGCACCGGCUAACUCCGUGCCAGCAGCCGCGGUAAUACGGAGGGUGCAAGCGUUAAUCGGAAUUACUGGGCGUAAAGCGCACGCAGGUGGUCUGUCAAGUCGGAUGUGAAAUCCCCGGGCUCAACCUGGGAACUGCAUUCGAAACUGGCAGGCUAGAGUCUUGUAGAGGGGGGUAGAAUUCCAGGUGUAGCGGUGAAAUGCGUAGAGAUCUGGAGGAAUACCGGUGGCGAAGGCGGCCCCCUGGACAAAGACUGACGCUCAGGUGCGAAAGCGUGGGGAGCAAACA
rnacentral:rRNA from 1 species